AAGCAAAAAAAUAUGCAAUUUCCAAUAUAGCAUAAAACAUUGAGGGAACAAUUAACCUGCUUUAUUCUACACAAUUUAAACCCAUAUGAAAAGUAACAAAGGCUCAAUCUUCAGAGUCAGCACUAUUAUUUUCACACAAAAGACUCAAUUUUUAGUACUCUUCUUAUAAAAGAAACACAGAGGAAAACAAUUUCCCUGCGUUAAGUUUUUUUCACAGCGACCGUCAUAGGAAUAAACAGAAAGAAGCUGUUUAGAUUAAAAUCAACAAUAGUCCAGCCAUAUUUUUGAG
rnacentral:misc_RNA from 1 species